AGCGAAUAGAUACCCGGGUAGUCCACGCCGUAAACGAUGAAUACUAGGUGUAGGGGUUGUCAUGACCUCUGUGCCGCCGCUAAACGCAUUAAGUAUUCCGCCUGGGGAGUACGGUCGCAAAAUUAAAACUCAAAGGAAUUGGCGGGGGCCCGCACAAGCAGCGGAGCAUGUGGUUUAAAUUCGAAGCAACGCGAAGAACCUUACCUAGACUUGACAUCUCCUGAAUUACUCUGUAAUGGAGGAAGCCACUUCGGUGGCAGGAAGACAGGUGGUGCAUGGUUGUCGUCAGCUCGUGUCGUGAGAUGUUGGGUUAAGUCCCGCAACGAGCGCAACCCUUAUUGUUAGUUGCUACCAUUUAGUUGAGCACUCUAGCGAGACUGCCCGGGUUAACCGGGAGGAAGGUGGGGAUGACGUCAAAUCAUCAUGCCCCUUAUGUCUAGGGCUACACACGUGCUACAAUGGUCGGUACAAUGAGAUGCAACCUCGCGAGAGUGAGCAAACCUAUAAAACCGAUCUCAGUUCGGAUUGUAGGCUGAAAC
rnacentral:rRNA from 1 species